rnacentral:rRNA from 1 species
UACGGAGGGUGCAAGCGUUGUCCGGAAUCACUGGGCGUAAAGGGCGCGUAGGCGGCUCAUGAAGGCUGUGGUGAAAGUCCGGGGCUCAACCUCGGAUCGGCCGUGGCGACUCGUGGGCUGGAGCACUGUAGAGGCGGGUGGAAUUCCGGGUGUAGAGGUGAAAUUCGUAGAUAUUCGGAAGAACACCAGUGGCGAAGGCGGCUCACUGGACUGGUAUUGACGCUGAUGUGCGAAAGCGUGGGGAGCAAACAGG